AUUGAACGCUGGCGGCAGGCCUAACACCUGCAAGUCGAACGAGUGGCGGACGGGUGAGUAAUGUCUGGGAAACUGCCUGAUGGAGGGGGAUAACUACUGGAAACGGUAGCUAAUACCGCAUACCAUCAGAUGUGCCCAGAUGGGAUUAGCUUGUGGGUGGGGUAACGGCUAACCAAGGCGACGUUCCCUACCUGGUCUGAGAGGAUCACCAGUCACACUGGAACUGAGACACGUUCCAGACUCCUACGGGAGGCAGCAGGGGGGAAUAUUGCACAAUGGGCGCAAGCCUGAUGCAGCCAUGCCGCGUGUAUGAAGAAGGCCUUCGGGUUGUAAAGUACGUUCAGCGGGGAGGCGUUACCCGCAGAAGAAGCACCGGCUAACUCCGUGCCAGCAGCCGCGGUAAUUC
rnacentral:rRNA from 1 species